CGCCCGUCGCUCCUACCGAUUGGAUGUGCUGGUGAAGUGUUGGGAUUGGCGGUUGAUGGCGGUUCGCCGCACUCUGCCACCGAAAACAUCAUUAAACCCUCCCAUCUAGAGGAAGGAGAAGUCGUAACAAGGUUUCC
rnacentral:rRNA from 1 species